CAGUAACACGUCGAUAAUCUGCCCUUAAGUCUGGGAUAACCUUGGGAAACUGAGGCUAAGACCGGAUGGAAAAACAAAUCUGGAAUGAUUGUCUUCGAAAGGUAACGCUUAAGGAUGAGUCGGCGGCGGAUUAGGCUGUUGGUGAGGUAACGGCUCACCAAACCAAAGAUCCGUAGGGGCUUUGAGAGAAGGAGCCCCGAGAAGGGCACUGAGACACUGGCCCAAGCCCUACGGGGUGCAGCAGGCGCGAAAACUUUGCAAUGCACGAAAGUGUGACAAGGGAACUCAGAGUGCUCAUACACAGUAUGGGCUUUUGCCAAGAGCAAAUAUCUUGGAGAAUAAGUGGUGGGAAAGACUGGUGCCAGCCGCCGCGGUAACCCCAGCGCCACAAGUGGGAAUCGCGUUUAUUGGGCCUAAAGCAUCCGUAGCUGGUUUUGUAAAUCCCCUGUGAAAUUGUUAGACUCAAUCUAACAGCAUGCAGGAGACACUGCAAAACUAGGGACCGGGAGGAGUCAGAGGUAUGCUAUGGGGAGCGGUAAAAUGCUAUAAUCCAUGGUAGACCACCUGUGGCGAAGGCGUCUGACUAGAACGGGUCCGACAGUGAGGGAUGAAAGCCAGGGGAGCAAACCGGAUUAGAUACCCGAGUAGUCCUGGCCGUAAACUCUGCGAGCUAGGUGUCGCGUAUUCUUCGUGAAUGCGCGGUGUCGUAGUGAAGAUGAUAAGCUCGCCGCCUGGGAAGUACGGUCGCAAGACUGAAACUUAAAGGAAUUGGCGGGGGAG
rnacentral:rRNA from 1 species